rfam:Salmo salar isolate Sally breed double haploid chromosome ssa19, whole genome shotgun sequence.
GAUCCAGUGGCCUAAUGGAUAAGGCAUCAGCCUCCCGAGCUGGGCAUUGUGGGUUCAAGUCCCACCUGGGUCU